GACGAACGCUGGCGGCGUGCUUAACACAUGCAAGUCGAACGGAGUGGCGAACGGGUGAGUAACACGUGUGUGACCUUCCCUGCACUUCGGGAUAAGCCUGGGAAACUGGUUCUAAUACCGGAAAGUGCGGGAUGGGCCCGCGGCCUAUCAGCUUGUUGGUGGGGUAAUGGCCUACCAAGGCGGCGACGGGUAGCCGGCCUGAGUGGGUGGACGGCCAAAUUGGGACUGAGACACGGCCCAGAAUGCUACGGGAGGCAGCAGGGGGGAAUAUUACGCAAUGGGCGGAAGCCUGAUGAAGCGACGCCGCGUGGGGGAUGACGGCCUUCGGGUUGUAAACUCCUUUCACCAUAGACGCGGUAGAUGGAGAAGAAGCACCGGCUAACUACGUGCCAGCAGCCGCGGUAAUAC
rnacentral:rRNA from 1 species